AGAGUUUGAUUCUGGCUCAGGGUGAACGCUGGCGGCGUGCUUGACACAUGCAAGUCGAACGGUAUGUGGCAACACAUAGAGUGGCGAACGGGUGAGUAACACGUGGGAACGUACCCUACGCAGGGGGAUAACUGACCGAAAGGACAGCUAAUACCGCAUAAGACCGAAAGGUGAAAGGUGCAAAUGCACCGGCGAAGGAGCGGCCCGCGGACCAUCAGCUAGUUGGUGGGGUAAGAGCCUACCAAGGCGACGACGGUUAGCCGGCGUGAGAGCGUGGCCGGCCACAAGGACACUGAGAUACGGGUCCUACUCCUACGGGAGGCAGCAGUGCGGAAUUUUAGAUAAUGGAGGCAACUCUGAUCUAGCGACGCCGCGUGCAGGAAGAAGGUCUUCGGAUUGUAAACUGCUGUGGUAAGGGAAAAAUGCCAUGUAGAGUGGAAAGCUACAUGGAGGGAUGGUACUUUACUAGAAAGCCCCGGCUAACUACGUGCCAGCAGCCGCGGUAAUACGUAGGGGGCGAGCGUUACCCGGAAUCACUGGGCGUAAAGGGAGCGUAGGUGGCCUGACAUGUCGACUGUGAAAACCCGGAGCUCAACUCCGGACUUGCAGUUGAAACUGCCAGGCUUGAGGACGGUAGAGGAAGACGGAACUGCCAGUGUAGGGGUAAAAUCCUUAGAUAUUGGCAGGAACGCCGGUGACGAAGGUGGUUUUCUGGGCCGGUUCUGACACUGAUGCUCGAAAGCCAGGGGAGCGAACGGGAUUAGAUACCCUGGUAGUC
rnacentral:rRNA from 1 species